rnacentral:miRNA from 1 species
CGAUCACCUCGGUUGUUGCUUUU